rnacentral:rRNA from 1 species
UACGUAGGGGGCAAGCGUUAUCCGGAAUUACUGGGUUUAAAGGGAGCGUAGACGGUAAUGUAAGUCUGGAGUGAAAGGCGGGGGCCCAACCCCCGGACUGCUCUGGAAACUAUGUUACUAGAGUGCAGGAGAGGUAAGCGGAAUUCCUAGUGUAGCGGUGAAAUGCGUAGAUAUUAGGAGGAACACCAGUGGCGAAGGCGGCUUACUGGACUGUAACUGACGUUGAGGCUCGAAAGCGUGGGGAGCAAACAGG